rnacentral:rRNA from 1 species
AGCGGCGAACGGGUGAGUAACACGUGGGUGAUCUGCCUCGUACUCUGGGAUAAGCCUGGGAAACUGGGUCUAAUACCGGAUAUGACCACGAAUCGCAUGGUUUGUGGUGGAAAGAUUUAUCGGUGCGAGAUGGGCCCGCGGCCUAUCAGCUUGUUGGUGGGGUAAUGGCCUACCAAGGCGACGACGGGUAGCCGGCCUGAGAGGGCGACCGGCCACACUGGGACUGAGACACGGCCCAGACUCCUACGGGAGGCAGCAGUGGGGAAUAUUGCACAAUGGGCGGAAGCCUGAUGCAGCGACGCCGCGUGAGGGAUGACGGCCUUCGGGUUGUAAACCUCUUUCGACAGGGACGAAGCGCAAGUGACGGUACCUGUAGAAGAAGCACCGGCCAACUACGUGCCAGCAGCCGCGGUAAUACGUAGGGUGCGAGCGUUGUCCGGAAUUACUGGGCGUAAAGAGCUUGUAGGCGGUUCGUCGCGUCGAUCGUGAAAACUUGCAGCUCAACUGCGAGCUUGCGGUCGAUACGGGCGGACUAGAGUACUGCAGGGGAGACUGGAAUUCCUGGUGUAGCGGUGAAAUGCGCAGAUAUCAGGAGGAACACCGGUGGCGAAGGCGGGUCUCUGGGCAGUAACUGACGCUGAGAAGCGAAAGCGUGGGUAGCGAACAGGAUUAGAUACCCUGGUAGUCCACGCCGUAAACGGUGGGCGCUAGGUGUGGGUUUCCUUCCACGGGAUCCGUGCCGUAGCUAACGCAUUAAGCGCCCCGCCUGGGGAGUACGGCCGCAAGGCUAAAACUCAAAGGAAUUGACGGGGGCCCGCACAAGCGGCGGAGCAUGUGGAUUAAUUCGAUGCAACGCGAAGAACCUUACCUGGGUUUGACAUACACCAGAAAGCCGUAGAGAUACGGCCCCCCUUGUGGUUGGUGUACAGGUGGUGCAUGGCUGUCGUCAGCUCGUGUCGUGAGAUGUUGGGUUAAGUCCCGCAACGAGCGCAACCCUUGUCCUGUGUUGCCAGCGCGUUAUGGCGGGGACUCGCAGGAGACUGCCGGGGUCAACUCGGAGGAAGGUGGGGACGACGUCAAGUCAUCAUGCCCCUUAUGUCCAGGGCUUCACACAUGCUACAAUGGCCGGUACAGAGGGCUGCGAUACCGUGAGGUGGAGCGAAUCCCUUAAAGCCGGUCUCAGUUCGGAUCGGGGUCUGCAACUCGACCCCGUGAAGUUGGAGUCGCUAGUAAUCGCAGAUCAGCAACGCUGCGGUGAAUACGUUCCCGGGCCUUGUACACACCGCCCGUCACGUCAUGAAAGUCGGUAACACCCGAAGCCGGUGGCCUAACCCCUUGUGG